rnacentral:lncRNA from 1 species
CCAAACCUCAGCAUCACACAAUAUUCCCAUGUAACAACCUGCACAGGUACCUCCAAAUCUAAAAUAAAACUUGGAGGAAAAAAAGUUGACCUUUAAACAUUAUAACACAGAAAGAAGCCAGAGAGGCCAUUGUGGGCCCUGUGCAACUGAAGUUAUGAAGGAGAAGAAAUGUGGAUCGGAUGAAUGUAUAAAGUAGAUGUAGACUGACAGGCGAGACACAGCAGGAGAGAGCAGGGAACAGGAGGCCUGGAGGAGCCCAUGACUGUGUCAAGGGCAGAAUACCCGAGUGAAACCCACACACUCCUGCUCCCGCGGCCCCUGGGGCAGCCCUAAAUCCAGAAGUGUCCUUUUGCAGCUCCAAGACUUCAAUUCGCCUGUCCGGCUUUUCCCGGGCUCCUGUGCCUGGAUAUCUCCUUCAUCACCCACCAGGCUCUCAUUCCUUGAGUGUCUUUUGGUUUUUUCUUUUCUUUUCUUUUUUUUUUUUUUUUUUUUUUUUUUUGAGACGGAGUCUCGCUCUGUCACCCAGGCUGGAGGGCACUGGCGCGCGAUCUCGGCUCACUGCAAGCUCCGCCUCCCGGGUUCACGCCACUCUCCUGCCUCAGCCUUCCGAGUAGCUGGGACUACAGGCGCGCCCGCCACCAGGCCGGCUAAUUUUUUGUAUUUUUAGUAGAGACGGGGUUUCACCAUGUUGGUCAGGCUGGUC